UACGGGGGGGGCAAGCGUUGUUCGGAAUUACUGGGCGUAAAGCGCGCGUAGGCGGCUUAGUAAGUCGGGUGUGAAAACCCCAGGCUCAACCUGGGGAGGGUCACGCGAUACUGCUCGACUUGAAGGCAGGAGAGGGAAGCGGAAUUCCCGGUGUAGUGGUGAAAUGCGUAGAUAUCGGGAGGAACACCAGUGGCGAAGGCGGCUUCCUGGCCUGUUCUUGACGCUGAGGCGCGAAAGCUAGGGUAGCAAACGGG
rnacentral:rRNA from 1 species